rnacentral:rRNA from 1 species
UACAGAGGGGGCAAGCGUUGUUCGGAAUUACUGGGCGUAAAGGGCGCGUAGGCGGCCUGUUAAGUCGAACGUGAAAUCCCUGGGCUCAACCCAGGAACUGCGUCCGAUACUGGCAGGCUUGAAUUCGGGAGAGGGAUGCGGAAUUCCAGGUGUAGCGGUGAAAUGCGUAGAUAUCUGGAGGAACACCGGUGGCGAAGGCGGGUCUCUGGGCCGUAACUGACGCUGAGGUGCGAAAGCGUGGGGAGCAAACAGG